GAUAAAUCUGUACAAGGAUCUUGACUGCAGACAGCAUGCUAUGGUAGAUGUAUCCUUUUAGGCAGUUUAUAACUAAUAGGGGUAUGGUGGGUUGGGUAUAAAUUCAGAGUAAACUACUCAUGUCCAAACCCUGGAUCCACCCCUGGGCCAUGUGUUAUAUAACUCUCUGGGUUAAUUUUGUCACCCUCCUUAAAUAAAGUUUAUUGUAUUGUAUUGUAUUUGUGGAGAGAUUAACCAGAAAAAAGCCUCAUAUCAAGGAAAAGGAAAAGUCCUCAAAGUCCUCAAUAUAAACUUUAUCACUUGAUACCAAGAUGAAAGAGCACAUUGAUAUUUUAAUAACAAGGGAGCUCUUCUUCUCUCCAGAUAUCAAGCAGAGGUCAAGGUGACUGUUAACAGUAUUUGAACUAAUCAUCUCUCCACAGACAGGGCAUUCAACUAAUUAAAAACAACCAUAAGAACAUAAAGACAUGAACGCACAUUUCAUAUUACCUAUGUUAAAAAUGCCACUACACAUUAUUGACUUUCGCAGCUUUGAGGAGCAUAUGCCAUCUAUGCUUGCAGGCUAGAACUACACUGAGUCUUGCGUCAUAGGAAAACGUGCGAAUUUUUAUCAUGGAGGAAUAUGCCAGAGAACCUUGCCCGUACCGUAUCGUGGAUGAUUGUGGAGGAGCGUUCGCAAUGGGUGCCAUUGGAGGUGGAAUCUUUUCGCUUGUCAAGGGAUGGAGAAACUCGCCAGUCGUACGUAUUGAAAUACUUAUUUAUCGACUUAAUCUUUCA